rnacentral:rRNA from 1 species
UAGGGAAUCUUCGGCAAUGGACGGAAGUCUGACCGAGCAACGCCGCGUGAGUGAAGAAGGUUUUCGGAUCGUAAAGCUCUGUUGUAAGAGAAGAACGAGUGUGAGAGUGGAAAGUUCACACUGUGACGGUAUCUUACCAGAAAGGGACGGCUAACUACGUGCCAGCAGCCGCGGUAAUACGUAGGUCCCGAGCGUUGUCCGGAUUUAUUGGGCGUAAAGCGAGCGCAGGCGGUUAGAUAAGUCUGAAGUUAAAGGCUGUGGCUUAACCAUAGUAGGCUUUGGAAACUGUUUAACUUGAGUGCAAGAGGGGAGAGUGGAAUUCCAUGUGUAGCGGUGAAAUGCGUAGAUAUAUGGAGGAACACCGGUGGCGAAAGCGGCUCUCUGGCUUGUAACUGACGCUGAGGCUCGAAAGCGUGGGGAGCAAACAGGAUUAGAUACCCUGGUAGUCCACGCUGUAAACGAUGAGUGCUAGGUGUUAGACCCUUUCCGGGGUUUAGUGCCGUAGCUAACGCAUUCAGCACUCCGCCUGGGGAGUACGACCGCAAGGUU